CUGAGAGGGUGACCGGCCACAUUGGGACUGAGACACGGCCCAGACUCCUACGGGAGGCAGCAGUGGGGAAUAUUGCACAAUGGAGGAAACUUUGAUGCAGCGACGCCGCGUGAGUGAAGAAGUAAUUCGUUAUGUAAAGAUCUAUCAGCAGGGAAGAUAGGACGGUACCUGACUAAGAAGCUCCGGCUAAAUACGUGCCAGCAGC
rnacentral:rRNA from 1 species